GGUGGUUAGUGUGGUGGGGGGGAGGUCCCUUUUUUCCUCAACCAAGGCUGAAGGCAAAGAUCAGAUCUUGAGGAUCAUUUUCAAGACUGCCAUGUGCUGGGAAGCCUUAUUUUCCUACCUUAGACAUUU
ensembl:scaRNA